rnacentral:rRNA from 1 species
CCAGACUCCUACGGGAGGCAGCAGUGAGGAAUAUUGGUCAAUGGGCGGGAGCCUGAACCAGCCAAGCCGCGUGAGGGAAGAAGGUACAGCGUAUCGUAAACCUCUUUUGUCAGGGAACAAAGGCGGGGACUAGUCCCCGGAUGAGGGUACCUGAAGAAAAAGCAUCGGCUAACUCCGUGCCAGCAGCCGCGGUAAUACGGAGGAUGCGAGCGUUAUCCGGAUUUAUUGGGUUUAAAGGGUGCGCAGGCGGCGUGGUAAGACGGGGGAAAAGGGCCGGGGCCCAACCCCGGGGAGCCGUUGAAACUGGCGGGCUGGAGUUGGAGAGAAGGACGCGGAAUGCGCGGUGUAGCGGUGAAAUGCUUAGAUAUCGCGCAGAACCCCGAUUGCGAAGGCAGCGUACCGGCUUCACACUGACGCUGAGGCACGAAAGCGUGGGUAUCGAACAGGAUUAGAUACCCCAGUAAAC